rnacentral:rRNA from 1 species
UACGGGGGGAGCAAGCGUUGUUCGGAUUUACUGGGCGUAAAGGGCGCGUAGGCGGCCUGCUAAGUCGGACGUGAAACUCCCUCGGCUCAACCGGGGAACUGCGUCCGAUACUGGCGAGGCUCGAAUCCGGGAGAGGGAUGUGGAAUUCCAGGUGUAGCGGUGAAAUGCGUAGAUAUGUGGAGGAACGACCGAUGGCGCAAGGCAGCCCCUGGGAUCGAGA